UCAACCAGUAGGCUAUUUUUGAAGACAUCUACGUAGGCUACCAACAGCAAAACAUCAUUUAGCCUACUAUCAUAAAAUAGGUGACGCUUUUGUGGCGUUUUCCUACGUUUUAUCAUAGGCCCACUACGUUUAUUUCUACCACUUAAAAAUAAUAUGUAAUAUCAUUCAAACAAAGAGGCUUUCAGAAUGAUUAAGACUGACAACGGUGGCUAAUGCAGUAGCAGUAACUGAGACAAAUCUAUGAUCAAAACAGCAGGAUGAGGAGGAUGAGUGUCUUCCCACAGCAUGUCACGGCUCUGGGAAACUUGGGACGAACUGUGAACGAAAUCCGGCAGGAAGCUGAGAAGGGUAAAUCUGAACUGGUAUCUGACCUGGUUAGCCUUUCAGCCGGAGCCAGAAUUCAAGCCAUACGAUCAUUACCU
rnacentral:lncRNA from 1 species